rnacentral:misc_RNA from 1 species
GUGAAUCAUCGAAUCUUUGAACGCAUAUUGCACUCUCCGGUAUUCCGGAGCGUAUGCCUGUUUGAGGGUAAUUAAAAAGAAUCUUUACCCCAUUUUUUUUGGUCAAAGGAAAUGAGCUCCCCGCGUCUAUCGCGGUAGCUCGAAAUAAAUGGUCAAGUCUCAUUUUAGUCGAUACGCGUAAUAACAUUAUUUUGCGAAAUCUUCAUUAUGUGACUAUCAAGUUUUGAUGCAUACAAAUUUGCUUUGUAUUCGAUCAACACAAAUAUUUUGAACAUUACUCCAAUUCAGGUAGGAGAACCC